AAAAACAUCAGUUUCCAACUCUAUACAUGAACAAAAGUCCUCUGCUGGUAGAUAAAUCCAAUUAUAUAAAACGGCCACGUGAGUGUAUGAAUACUGAAUCUAGUACCAUACGAAAUUUUUAGAAUCAGAUUGGAUAAUCUGGUACGACCAUAAAAAAAUUUAACCUUUCAUCGCACAAGUACGGUCACUUAAAAUCCUCCCAAUUUAAUGUCAUUAAAAACCUCCAAAAACUUUAGAACCUACCAGACCGCUUUAUCGGUUCAUCGGCUCGACUCAAAAUGAAGAGGUGACUCGUUUUAUCUCGUAUGAAUAUAAAUCACAAGUUGCACAAUUAUGAACAUUUAGUUACUAGUUGCUAAUAUUUAUACGAUAUUUUCGUAUAGCAAUAAUGUGACUUUCCAACUACGAUUGAGCUGUAACCUUACAAACCUCCUGCUCAUCACAUCCAAUUCAUUUCUGAUCAAUCACAGUCAAGCAAUAGUUCAUAACAUUUUGAUCCGCAUAUAAUUAGUUUCACAUAUAGUUUAUAGAAACCAUGCUUACUUCAUAACAUUAAAAAUGAUCUUAAUUUGGUCACAAUAGUUAAUUAUGAUUUAAGAACAUCAAUCUCAUUUGUUCCCCACUCCGUGGAAUUUAGAAAUUAAAUAUGAUUAUG
rnacentral:lncRNA from 1 species